rnacentral:tmRNA from 1 species
GGGGGCGUACUGGUUUCGACUCGAAGCUCAUUACGCAUUCUGCAUGCCGAGGAUGAUUCGUUGGCCUCGUAAAAAAUCGAGUCAAAAAAACUAAACGCAGAUUACGAAAAUCUAGCUCUCGCAGCCUAAGGCUGUGACGCUGACACACUGACGCCUACUAAGUGUGAAGGCGACGCCAGUAGGCUGGCUCUCAGGCGGAAAGACCGCGCCGGGGGGUGAAUCGAUUUCGUGGUCGAUCGGGGGAAAGCAGCGCGCCGCACCGUGGCCGACCCCUUAAAUUCAAAGUGCGGUCAAGCAUGUGGACGGGUGCCUGAUAAGUUCCGGGGACAGGGGUUCGACUCCCCUCGCCUCCACCA